UUCGAUGUCGGCUCUUCCUAUCAUUGUGA
rnacentral:ncRNA from 9 species